UCUCCAUGCCCCUUCAGGAAGCUCUAUCAGCUUUGCUUCAGGGCACUGAGGGGCACUAAUGAAAGGCACAGAGGAUGAGCAGGACAACACAGGCCUUUGCAGAGGUAGUCCUAGCCUUUAAGGAAGAGCAAGGAGCCAAUUCACCUUGAAGUCACAACCUCCUGCUGCUUCUCAGGAGCAAAGACAAGAUCCUAUGGUCUGUACAAAAUAACCCGAGUGUAUUCAGCAGACACAAAGGUACUAACCAGAAGAACAGCAUGACCUGGUUGCAGACUAGAGAGGUAGCAAGCCAUGUUCACCUUAUCUUCAAGGGAUUCUCCACCACAAACCAGUAAUGAGUUUCUCUGUAUGUGAUGGCGGUGCCCUAAGGUUGUGACUAGACAUACGUGUGCUCCUGGGCCUGAACCUCUGACCAUCAAACAGCCUAAAACCUGUCCGGUCCUUGUGCCCUGACCCCAAUUACAAAGGUCUGGGACCCACUCUGGUGUGCCAUGGUGUCCACCUUGCCUGCGUGCCCGGGCUUCCUCCCUGUGUGGCAGGGGACAGCGGCAGUGGCAGGGAAGGGUGGGAGGUGGGAUGAACACCCAGGGCUUGCUGACAUGGACCUGGCACAGUGGGAGUUUGCAUCCAGACCCAGGAAUUUAGAACAAAUCCUGGCUCUGAUCAUAUCACUGUCACUGAAGUACCCUAGCGAUGCACGUGCUAAUAUAGCUUGCAGGUAACGGAGGAAUCCAUUCUGACGCUUUGAUUAAAGGUGAUGUCAACAUGUAUUACCCGCCAGCAGCAAAUUUCAGCAGUGAAAACUGACUUGUCCUGAAGCAGAGAGUUUCCCGCUGAAUAUGAUGAAGAGAGACUGUAACAAACAACGAAAAGCUGGCUUAUUAAACGUACUGCUAUUGAAGGAA